rnacentral:rRNA from 1 species
UACGAAGGGUGCAAGCGUUACUCGGAAUUACUGGGCGUAAAGCGUGCGUAGGUGGUUGUUUAAGUCUGUUGUGAAAGCCCUGGGCUCAACCUGGGAAUUGCAGUGGAUACUGGGCGACUAGAGUGUGGUAGAGGGUAGUGGAAUUCCCGGUGUAGCAGUGAAAUGCGUAGAGAUCGGGAGGAACAUCCAUGGCGAAGGCAGCUACCUGGACCAACACUGACACUGAGGCACGAAAGCGUGGGGAGCAAACAGGAUUAGAUACC